GCGAACGGGUGAGUAAUAUAUCGGAGCGUACCCAGGAGUGGGGGAUGACGUAACUCAAGUUACGCUAAUACCGCACACGAUCUACGGAUGAAAGCGCGGGACCUUCAGGCCUUGAGCUCCUGGAGCGUCCGAUAUCUGAUUAGCUAGUUGGUGAGGUAAAGGCUCACCAAGGCGCACCAUCACUAGCUGGUCUGACAGGACCACCAUCCACACUGUGAACUGACACACGGUCCAUACUCCUACGGGAGGCAGCAGUGGGGAAUUUUGGACAAUGGGCUGCACGCCUGAGCCAGCAAUGCCGCGUGAGUGAAGAAGGCCUUCGGGUUGUAGAGCUCUUUUGUCAGGGAACAAACGGCUGUGGCUAACAUCCACGGCUAAUGACGGUACCUGAAUAAUAAGCACCGGCUAACUACGUGCCAGCAGCCGCGUUAAUACGUACGGUGCAAUCGUUAAUCGGAAUUACUGGUCGUAAAGCGUGCGCAGGCGGUUUUGUACGUCUGUCGUGAAAUCCCCGGGCUCAACCUGGGAAUUGCGAUGGAGACUGCUCGGCUAGAAUCUGGCAGAUUGAGGUAGAAUUACACGUGUAGCAUUGAAAUGCGUACAGAUGUGGACGAACACCGAUGGAGGAAGCACCCCCCUGGGUCAAGAUUGACGC
rnacentral:rRNA from 1 species